AAGUAACAAUAGCCACAAUAAUAACACCGGCACACAAAAAAAAUUGAGUAGAAUGUGCAUUUGACCGGACCUACCUACGGGUACGUAUUUUGGUCCGCUGAAUCCGAAUUCGAGGUCAGUUUGACCCCUACACCCCCAAAAUUUCGAGAAAACUUCGAAAAACCGUAAAAAUGAUGAAAAUCGGCAGUUUUAAUGA